UUAAAAUGUAAAAGGGCAUUACAAAGCCAGGAUUUUUAAUUACAUAAAAUUCAAACAAAAGUAGCCUAGUUUAAGUUCUAAAACAUUAUCAUGUGUAAUUUAUUUCUGGUAUAAUGUGCCACAAGAUGGCAGUGUUCUCAGAGAUUCAAAAGGAACUGCAGCAAUGAACAACAUAAUUGAACUUAUAUAUACAGCGACAUUGUGGCUCAGAGUCAGAGAGGAAGGACUCAGUGUUUACAGAUCUGACAUGAUAUAAUCAUAUCUGACAGAGAAACGAUUCAAUCUGACUCUCCUCAAAGUGAACACAAUCAAUGGAUCUUCAUUCAGUUAUUCUUUUCUGUGCCUCAGCAGCUGCUGCAUUUGGAAAUGUUUAUGAGGAGGGUUUGAAUGUUACAUUGCCCUGUGAUCGUUCACCCUCAACUUCAGAUUAUAUCCACUGGUACCGUCAGUAUGAAAGAUCAAAACCUGAAUUUCUUGUACUCACCUACAGCACUGCAAAAGAAGUUCAGCCGUCUGAUGUAGAUCCAAGAUUUACUGUUAAAGUUCGAAAAGGAGAACAAAUCCAUGUGGAUCUGAUCAUCUCCUCUGCUGCUGUAUCAGACUCUGCUCUGUAUUACUGUGCUCUGAGGCCCACAGUGACAGGAAACACAUAAGCUCUAUACAGAAACCUGCUACAAUGAGAGAUGAGAGAAUUUAUAAUUUUUUAAAUGAUCUUAUUUCUGAUAUGUAUUAAGAUUUGUUUUUAUAAAUAAUUGUGUUUGAAAAGCUUUUAAAAUAAAAUUGCCUGCUGUACAUAAAAUAUAAGGAUACCAUAUGUAUAUUACAAGAUUAAUUCUAGUGCAUCCUUGUACAGGCUCCUCCCAAUUGUGAAAAAGUGAUUUGAAUUUAUUGCUGCUGUAACAGAUGCAAAAAGAGUAAGAAGAUCAUAACAUCUCUGAAGAGUUGGUAAUUUUAUUAGCAUAUAA